rnacentral:rRNA from 1 species
AUUGAACGCUGGCGGCAGGCCUAACACAUGCAAGUCGAGCGGAUGAAGGGAGCUUGCUCCUGGAUUCAGCGGCGGACGGGUGAGUAAUGCCUAGGAAUCUGCCUGGUAGUGGGGGAUAACGUCCGGAAACGGGCGCUAAUACCGCAUACGUCCUGAGGGAGAAAGUGGGGGAUCUUCGGACCUCACGCUAUCAGAUGAGCCUAGGUUGGAUUAGCUAGUUGGUGGGGUAAAGGCCUACCAAGGCGACGAUCCGUAACUGGUCUGAGAGGAUGAUCAGUCACACUGGAACUGAGACACGGUCCAGACUCCUACGGGAGGCAGCAGUGGGGAAUAUUGGACAAUGGGCGAAAGCCUGAUCCAGCCAUGCCGCGUGUGUGAAGAAGGUCUUCGGAUUGUAAAGCACUUUAAGUUGGGAGGAAGGGCAGUAAGUUAAUACCCUGCUGUUUUGACGUUACCAACAGAAUAAGCACCGGCUAACUUCGUG